CGAGUGCUGUACACACGGCUCACACGUGUCCCGCUGCAGAAUCGGGGGGUGACGAUGGGGAGGGAGGAAGCGGCGAGGAGAUCUACGGUUGUCCCUAGGUGUGGAGAUCCCAAGGCGGAGCAAAAGAAGGGAAUGAGGUUAUCUCUGGCAGCUGUGAAAAGAUGACAGACACCCUGGUUAAAGGAGCGUGAAGGGAGUCAGAGCAAACGGAGGGUCUUCAGGGCUCCAUCCACGCUGGUGACUAGUUGUAUGAAGCAAGUUACACGGGGUUUCAGCGUCCCAAACAGGGCCAGCAAGAUUGCUUAGCAAGUAAAGGCACUGGCCACACAAGCCUGAUGAUCUGAGAUAGAUUCCACAGAACUCACAACCGUUACCUGUUCACCAUGAAGAGCGGUGUACCCUGGCAGGACAGAAACCUCCAUCUUCAGUGAAGAAACACCAUGAC